rnacentral:rRNA from 1 species
CCUACGGGAGGCUGCAGUGAGGAAUAUUGGUCAAUGGCCGCAGGGCUGAACCAGCCAAGUCGCGUGAGGGAUGACGGUCCUAUGGAUUGUAAACCUCUUUUGUCAGGGAGCAAAGGGCGCCACGUGUGGCGCUUUGCGAGUACCUGAAGAAAAAGCAUCGGCUAACUCCGUGCCAGCAGCCGCGGUAAUACGGAGGAUGCGAGCGUUAUCCGGAUUUAUUGGGUUUAAAGGGUGCGAAGGCGGAAUGUCAAGUCAGCGGUAAAAUUUCGGGGCUCAACCCCGUCGUGCCGUUGACACUGGCGUUCUUGAGUGAGCGAGAAGUAUGCGGAAUGCGUGGUGUAGCGGUGAAAUGCAUAGAUAUCACGCAGAACUCCGAUUGCGAAGGCAGCAUACCGGCGCUCAACUGACGCUCAUGCACGAAAGCGUGGGUAUCGAACAGGAUUAGAUACCCGUGUAGUC